AGCUGUCAGUUGCUCAGCAGAUAGUGUUAAAAUUCUAUCACUGGGUGUUUGACAGAUUC
rnacentral:pre_miRNA from 1 species